rnacentral:rRNA from 1 species
UCGGGAAUUUUGGGCAAUGGGCGAAAGCCUGACCCAGCAACGCCGCGUGAAGGAUGAAGUAUUUCGGUAUGUAAACUUCGAAAGAAUAGGAAGAAUAAAUGACGGUACUAUUUAUAAGGUCCGGCUAACUACGUGCCAGCAGCCGCGGUAAUACGUAGGGACCAAGCGUUGUUCGGAUUUACUGGGCGUAAAGGGCGCGUAGGCGGCAAUUCAAGUCAUCUGUGAAAUCUCCGGGCUUAACUCGGAGCGGUCAGAUGAUACUGCUUUGCUAGAGUGCAGAAGGGGCAAUCGGAAUUCUUGGUGUAGCGGUGAAAUGCGUAGAUAUCAAGAGGAACACCUGAGGUGAAGACGGGUUGCUGGGCUGACACUGACGCUGAGGCGCGAAAGCCAGGGGAGCAAACGGGAUUAGAUACCCACGUAGUCCCUGAGCGGGCUGGCAAGGCGCAU